rnacentral:rRNA from 1 species
GACGUAGGGCGCGAGCGUUGUCCGGAUUUAUUGGGCGUAAAGGGCGCGUAGGCGGCCACCGCAAGUCGACUGUGAAAUCUCCGGGCUUAACCCGGAAAGGUCAGCCGAUACUGCGGGGCUAGAGUGCAGAAGGGGCAACUGGAAUUCUCGGUGUAGCGGUGAAAUGCGUAGAUAUCGAGAGGAACACCUGCGGCGAAGGCGGGUUGCUGGGCUGACACUGACGCUGAGACGCGAAAGCGUGGGGAGCAAACAGG